rnacentral:lncRNA from 1 species
CCCCUUUUCGCAUCACUAGCUGGCCAAGGUGAGGACCAAAAUGGGUCCCCCAUGCUCUCCUUCCCCUUCCCCGCCGCUCGGCCUCGCCACCGGCGAGCUAGGCCGGCCGGCCCGUCGUCGGCCAUCCCCUUCCCCACUUCCUGUUGUGACCCAAGGAAGAAGAAAGGAUAAAAUCCCCCCCUCUCGAUCUGACCCUCUAGUUUCCUAUAUUCACAAAUAAGCCCUUGCACCAAUUCAAAAAUAAUUACAAAUGGGUCCUUGGUUCUCGCAAUUCAGUCCUAAACCUCCUAAUUAAGCCCCUAAUCCAUGUUUAACUCGUCAUUUCAUGCGCCAAACUUCCUCCAAUUAAUCCCAAAUUCGACCACGGCCUCCUCUCAUAUAUUUCCGCCGAGGCAUAUCCAAAUUUCAUGAAAAUACCCCUCCUAC